UACGUAGGGCGCAAGCGUUAUCCGGAAUUUAUUGGGCGUAAAGAGCUCGUAGGCGGUUUUGUCGCGUCUGCCGUGAAAGUCCGGGGCUCAACUCCGGAUCUGGCGGUGGGUACGGGCAGACUAGAGUGAUGUAGGGGAGACUGGAAUUCCUGGUGUAGCGGUGAAAUGCGCAGAUAUCAGGAGGAACACCGAUGGCGAAGGUAGGUCUCUGGGCAUUAACUGACGCUGAGGAGCGAAAGCGUGGGGAGCGAACGGG
rnacentral:rRNA from 1 species